UACGGGGGGGGCAAGCGUUGUUCGGAAUUACUGGGCGUAAAGGGCUCGUAGGCGGCCAACUAAGUCAGACGUGAAAUCCCUCAGCUUAACUGGGGAACUGCGUCUGAUACUGGAUGGCUUGGAUCCGGGAGAGGGAUGCGGAAUUCCAGGUGUAGCGGUGAAAUGCGUAGAUAUCUGGAGGAACACCGGUGGCGAAGGCGGCAUCCUGGACCGGUAUUGACACUGAGGAGCGAAAGCCAGGGGAGCAAACGGG
rnacentral:rRNA from 1 species